rnacentral:rRNA from 1 species
UGCCAGCCGCCGCGGUAAUACGAAGGGCCCGAGCGUUGCGCGGAAUCACUGGGCUUAAAGCGUACGCAGGCGGAUACAUAGGCGCGUUGUGAAAUACCUCGGCUCAACCGAGGAACUGCUUCGCGAACUAUGUAUCUUGAGACUGGUAGGGGCCAUCGGAACGAUAGGUGGAGUGGUGAAAUGCGUUGAUAUCUAUCGGAACGCCAAAGGAGAAAUCAGGUGGCUGGGCCAGUUCUGACGCUCAUGUACGAAAGCGUGGGGAGCGAACGGGAUUAGAUA